GCCCACUUUAAUUACAUAAGCUCUUUUUUUUCCCCUCCGGACGGGGGAGACCGCCUCUCAUUCUCGGUUCAGUGGGUUUUUCCUCGUUGUUGUGCGUUAGAGGUGACUGAUUGAGGAAUUUUUCGGAUGUUGAUGCAUCUAUGUAUUGGUUCUCUCUAUUGUUUUUCUUCUUUUAUUGGUUGUAGUGUGGUGGUUGCAAAUCUAAUGAGCUUAAAGGAAUGAACCUUCAUUGAUCUAAGUUUUUUGAGAGGUAUGCAUGGCCAUUUGAACGAUUGAGUAGAUUUGACCAGAGGGAGAUCUGUUGUUGAAGUGAGGAGGUAGCAUCCCUAGGGUUUAAAGAGUUCGGUUGAAGAGAGUGUCGACGCCCUACUUAAACGAGGUUGAGAUGCCGAUCAGGGUCCUGCUCUUUCGUUUUCUUCCUUCUAAGUGGGUGAUUGAUCUACACUUGAAUGGUUUACUAGGCUUUAUGGCCUUUAUUCUUUGCAUGGCUGUUUGUAGGUUCUAAUUUGGUUGUUCUAUCUUUUGCUAGGUAGUUGAGCCUCUAUCUGCUAGUGAAAGUUGCUUAAUUGAGCGAUACCCGACGGGGCAACAUGGGUGACUGUUGAUCAGAUUCUUAGCUGCGGGUUCUCCACUUGUUAGGAUACCUGAUUUAGGUUGGGAUCUGAAUUGGGCCUAUUUAGUAUUUUGCAAGCCUAUAUUAUUUUUAUGAAUUAUAGUUAGAAUUAUUUUGUGUAGUGCCAUAGGAUCUUUUUAAACAUUGUAUUUCUCAACGUUUACAUCCCUUUUAA
rnacentral:misc_RNA from 1 species